CGAACGAAGCACCUGAGAAUGAUUCUUCGGAUCAUUCUCUUGUGACUGAGUGGCGGACGGGUGAGUAACGCGUGGGUAACCUGCCUCACACAGGGGGAUAACAGUUGCAAACGACCGCUAAUACCGCAUAACCCGCUGGUGCCGCAUGGCACUGACGGAAAAGAUUUUAUCGGUGUGAGAUGGACCCGCGUCUGAUUAGCCAGUUGGCAGGGUAACGGCCUACCAAAGCGACGAUCAGUAGCCGGCCUGAGAGGGUGAACGGCCACAUUGGGACUGAGACACGGCCCAGACUCCUGCGGGAGGCAGCAGUGGGGAAUAUUGCACAAUGGGGGAAUUCCUGAUGCAGCGACGCCGCGUGAGUGAAGAAGUAUUUCGGUAUGUAAAGCUCUAUCUUUUGGGAAGAAAAUGACGGUACCUGAUUAAGAAGCCCCGGCUAACUACGUGCCAGCAGCCGCGGUAAUACGUAGGGGGCAAGCGUUAUCCGGAUUUACUGGGUGUAAAGGGAGCGUAGACGGUGAUGCAAGUCAGAAGUGAAAGCCCGGGGCUCAACUCCGGGACUGCUUUUGAAACUGUGUGACUGGAGUGCAGGAGAGGUAAGCCGAAUUCCUGGUGU
rnacentral:rRNA from 1 species